GAUUUUUUCGGGACUUGUGUUUUUUUAGACUUAGUUUUUUUUUUUAAAUUGUGUUGUUUAUAUUUAUUUUUUUUUACGGUCCGGUUUGAUCGCUGGCGAAAUGAAAAUCGGAAUUAACGGUAAUCUACUGAAGAUGGACAGCAGUGAAUUUCGGUAUCGUUCUCGGGGGAGGGCUAGUGUAAGUGAUUUACGGCUCGAAGCAAAUCUCCGCAAUCAAAAGUGAUUUCAAAACGAAAAGUUUCUGUUGUGCAAAAUAGUGAUUUCGAGGAUAGAAGACUAACUUUACAAAAUGGUAGCAGCGGAUAUUAAUGUCGUCGUCAAAUUCUUCUGUAUGAAAAUACUUGUUUCUUUCAAAGACAGACAACACAGUCAACAAGUCCAGGUGACAAUGUCACACAUGCCACCGUACUGCAAACAACCAUCGAUAAAACCUAUGAGUGCGGAAUGUGUGACCAAUCAUUCCCUAAGAAGAGACAGCUGGCAGUUCACAAGCGCGUACAUGCCGGCACGCGACCGUACUCCUGUGAUAUUUGCGGUAAAGCAUACACCAAGGGUAUAAAUCUAAGCCGCCACAAACGGAUACACACCGGCGAACGACGGCACCGUUGUCGGAUAUGUGGUAGAGAAUUUUUCACUUCUGAGCAAUUGGAUCAGCACCGGCUUACCCAUAAAGAUCAGGCUUACAUUUGCGAUAUCUGCAGUAGGAAGUUUACCGAAAACAGUAGUCUCACGCGACACAGACUUAUCCAUGCAGUGUAUGAAUGACAACUCUUCGCCGCCUGCCACAUCUCGUUCAUCAAAGACUUUUCCUGCGUGUGAUGUGUGAUAAUUUUGGUAUACAGAUUCUCUACUCGUGCUAGUCCGUCUUUAGCAGGAAAAGUUUGCUCAUCCCCUCCAAGUCUUCAAGAUUAGGAAGUGCGCAAUUCCAUAAGGUGUUCCCGAGGCCAGAUCAUCGAAAAAUUUUGUCGGCAUAGCUGCAUGUAUUACCAAAAAGACAGUUUGUUUACUGGACUACUUAUAGCUCGGCUGUGGUAUGGAGGUUAAUGAACGAUCGAUCAUCAAAUCAACCGAAGUAGGAAGGAUCAGCUGGAUUAUCGGAAUGACCAUGAAGAGGCCGGGAAAUUAGUACAGCUUUAAUUUGAUAAGAAGAACAGGCCAAACUUUAUCAUGUAUGAGACGUCGACUUCAGCGCAUGAGCGCAAAUCAAUCACACAACCGCGCCAUUGAAUGGACGUAUAAUCACAGAGAACAGACGUCCAACUCCAGUUUUGAAGUUGUAUAAAAUCGAAGACAUUUUCGAAUGUAGUUGAUAUAUCAUCACCAGGUGUGUUAGUAUCGUCAUUUCGUUUGGUAGCCGAGUUCGACUGGAUUUACAGGUUUACAUGGAACUUUCAAAAUGGCCGACAUUAUUACACCUCCACCCAGCCAAACCAUUCCGGAACCGAUUGAGUCGGAAUCGGUUGUUUCCUUUCCUUUGGAAUUUGUGAAAUGGCCUCCAAAGUAGUUAAAUUUUUCUUUCAAACACAAAUGUUUUAUUUAUUAACAAGUUAUAGGUUCGAACAUACCAAAUUUAUUAAAAUAUAGUUUGCUUUAAUGUAAAAUUUAGCUGACUACCAAAGCUUUCAUAUCACAUCUCUUUUCAUACUUUUUGUAGCGACUCACUCUAUCUUACUCAGGUGCACAGUUACCGCCGGAUAAAAUAUUGGCCCCAGAAACGCUUGAUAUAAUCUGUAGCUUUUUCAAAUCUUAAUA